UUUAAUUUUUCUUUUUAAAAAAAAUUAUUGUAAUAAAUAAGUGUAAUCAAAGUUGGAUACCAAAUUUCGACGCUUCAGUUUUAAACGACAUGCAGAACUACAAACAUUUGAAGACUUUUCUGCCUUAAUGGAACAACAAAAUAAAGAGGAGAUCGGCGACGGGUAUAUAGUUCACUGGACGUCGCGGAAAUUCCGAGGCCUACAUAACAUGAGAUGCCCACAGAACUUCAAAAUAGGGGUUUUCUGGACACUUCGUUAGAAGUGCAAACGAAGGUCCACAACUUUACACAAAAAUUUAGGAAAGAACAGCAGUGUGUUGGAGUUUCGGGAGGGGCGCCAUCCGACUAGAAAUACUUCCAUAUAUUGAAAAGAUUUCUAGGCAAUUUGCCCAUACAUAACACUACAAAAUUAGUGUUUGAAAGAUUGAAGAUGCAAUAUCUACGUCGAAAGAUUCUAAAACACCUGGAAAAAAAAAUAAACGCAAUUUGAAUGACACCCUUUUGGAAAAAUUUCAGAAUCCGAAAGAUGUAGAGAACCGUCACACACGAACGCACAGAUGCAAGAUUCUUGAAUUUAAUGGAAGAAAGCAUUGUUGGUUUAUCGAGUAUCGCGUCAUCAAUGGAAAGAGGCUUUUCAUAUACUCGGCUCACUGGUUACGAUGACUCCAGCGAUGACUAGCGAUAAUUAUUUAUUAAUAAUAGAACAUAAUUUAUAAUUGUUAUUAUCAUUAUAUUAUUAUAAUUUAGAUUAAGUUGCAUUCUUUUUUUUUUGUAAAUAUAUAGGAUAAUUAGAUUAAGUUAUUUAGU